rnacentral:lncRNA from 1 species
CCAGGUGCGGGGAGGCCGGCGCCCCACCCGCGAGCCCGUCCGGGGGCCCUCGGGCCAGCCGCGUCUCCCGCCCCGGGGCCGGCCGGUGCGCGCGGGAGGAGGACCCAGAAGCGGGCUCUGCCUGGGCUUGCCUGGGCUUGUUCAGAGCCGGGUGCUUCCCUCGGUGACCACGCGGAUCCGGGGGGACUUCGGGAUCCUGCGGGAGCCCUGCAGUCCUGCAGCCCGGCCGGGCCUCGGCGUGCCACGGCGAGCGCAGCUCUCUUCCCGGCCAGCCUUCCUGGGCAUCUCUUGUUCGGAGUGAGGAAAUCCUUCUCGAAGCCCCAGCGGACUUUCCCACACAUCUCAUUGGCCAGAAUGAUGACUGAGGCCCGGCCAGCCCCAGAGGAUCGGUGGCAAGGGAAGGGGCUGGCGGGGAUGGCGUUGGUGAGGCCUGUGACUCAGAAGAGGCUGGGCUUACCUGAGCCAAGUCAGGGCCUGUGAGUAGGAGCAGAGAGGCACGGAUUUGGGGCAGGUAACCAGGAUCUGCUACAUCGGAGACUUGAAAUUGAUUCAGAUUUCUAACUGGCUUGGAGAGUCAAUAACCAAUAAUAAUGCUCACUCUGAAAAUACAUGUAUUUAAUACUCCAUUUUUUUUUUAAAGAUUUUAUUUAUUUAUUCAUGAGAGACACAGAGAGAGAGAGGCAGAGACACAGGCAGAGGGAGAAGCAGGCUCCCUGCAGGGAGCCCGAUGUGGGACUCGAUCCUGGAUCCUGGGAUCAUGCCCUGAGUCAAAGGCAGAUGCUCAACCACUGAGCCACCCAGGCGUCCCAAAGGAAGCAUAAUACUCCAUUCUUAACUCAAGGGCACUUCUAGAAAGUCAUGGCAUCUACUGUUCCCCGUUCACUUGCCAGACAACUCCUCUUCCCAGUGAGCUGGUGGUCCCGGUUGGUGGUCCUCAAGCAUUUGAGCUGUUCUCCCUCCCGAUGAACGUGCUGCUUCAGGCCUCCAUCUUGUAAGGACUAGAAUAGGAAACACUAAGGAUUCUAAAUAGUCAGAGGUGUUAGAUGAGUAAGGUCCCCAGUUCUGCAGAGGGCAGAGGCAGCAGGCUUCUGGCUGGCAGCCCCCAAGAGCCAGCAGACAUGCAUGCCAUUUACUCAGGGAUGUUGCAGGUCCAAUGGAGGGACAAGCGUGCACCAGUGUCACCUACCAGGGACUAUGUGGCCUUUUCUUUUUUUUCCAGGGCAGGCACAAGUGGAUCCUGAAAUUCAGGAGAAACAGAGGUGCUGCCUGCCCUUCUGGGAAUGCUGAUUCCCCUUGACCCAGACUGACAAUAAUUGUUAAGGUUAAAACAUCCGAGUAAGUCUUUUAUGGCCUUGUCCCGGAGAUCUCCCACUGUUGUGUUAUUUAUUUAUUUAUUUUUUACCGUGUAUUUAGGCUUAUUUAUUUUUAUUUUUUUCCAUUUUACUUAGUUAUCGUACAAUGCAAUAUUCGUUUCUGGAGC